UCAUCGACAACACGUGGCAACGAUUUCGUGCGGAGCUUACGUGCGCUCUUGAGCGUUUGCUCAAUACCAUAUGUGCGCGUCGCGCACUGCACCUCCUCGCUGCAUUCUAGUAAGUGCACUCGAUAGCCGGCGGGUGGUUAUUUUCAGACAAACCCCUGAAAAAAAAACACCCUUUCCUCUUGUCUGACUCAUCAACUCUGCCAUUGUCAAAGUUAACCUAUAUCAAUUCGUUAGGGCCAUAUUUAUUUUCGUUUUAAAUAAAAGACUGACGUCUAAAUUACAAAGAGAUUGAGAAUAUUAUUUGCAAGGUUGACUAGAAGAAAAGAAAAACAAGUAAUGAGAAAUCUUGAAAGAAAGAUAAUGAAUUAUUUAAGACUGAAUGUGCAAUAUAAAUUAUGAAAAUACUAAAAGAAAAAGGACAGAAUAUCUAAGAAAAUCAAAGGAAGUUACUGACAAAGACAUAAAUAAUUUGUAUCCAUACAGAUGGAUAGAAAAGACAAAGCCACGAUUGAAACACGGGAGUAGUGUUAAGAAAAUUAUAUCAAGAAAUUGUAACCCCAAAAAAUCGAACAAUUUUCUCAAAAACCUAGAGAGAAGAAAAAUUUAAAGGCCAAAAAUAUUUUACAUGAUUUUUUGUAAACCGGAUAAGCCAAAGUCAUGAUUUGCGGAGACAAAUUAUAUAAAAAGAGAUUUAACCACAUUCGUUAAUAGACUAAGAAGAGCUAAUCAUCAUAACGCGUGGGAGAAUCACUUUGUUAAAAAAACGAUAAUAAAAGAGUGAGAUACAAAGAACAAAGUGAAGGCAAGUUGAUGACUGAGAAUAUAAGAGCGAGAGACGCCUAAUGUGCCUCUUGUGAUUUCUUGCGAAAUCAAUCAAGAGUACUACAAGGGAAUUAAAUGGAGAAGAAACGCCAGUGAAGAAGAGAGGAAUGUGUGUUCACAAAAUUCGCAGUCAGUUGAAGGACACGGUUAAUAAGAUGAUAUAGAAAAAGUUGGGAUCGUGUAUCGAUGUAAAAUAUCACAUUGUUGCUCAAAAUGUAAUUUUAACCUUUCGACUGCCGACAUUUUUUCAUUAAAAACAUGAUAUUUUUUUCGAAAUUUUUAUAUAUAAAUUGUGUUUUUUUCAUUGUGUGGAAUGCCUUAGGUUUUACUUAGCUUCGAUUGAAGCCAGGCCGGCGGGAAACGGAAGUGAAAAUUAUACAAUUUUUACAUUUUGAAAAAAUGGUGUUUCUUAGGGAUUGUUCAUAUCGUUGAUUAUGUUUUUGAUUACGUCUUCGAAUUGCAAAAAUCUUUCAAUAGUAUUAUUGUUAC